GAUGAACGCUGGCGGCGUGCCUAAUACAUGCAAGUCGAGCGAACGGACGAGAAGCUUGCUUCUCUGAUGUUAGCGGCGGACGGGUGAGUAACACGUGGAUAACCUACCUAUAAGACUGGGAUAACUUCGGGAAACCGGAACUAAUACCGGAUGAUAUUUUGAACCGCAUGGUUCAAAAGUGAAAGACGGUCUUGCUGUCACUUAUAGAUGGAUCCGCGCUGCAUUAGCUAGUUGGUAAGGUAACGGCUUACCAAGGCAACGAUGCAUAGCCGACCUGAGAAGGUGAUCGGCCACACUGGAACUGAGACACGGUCCAGACGCCUAAGGGAGGCAGCAGUAGGGAAUCUUCCGCAAUGGGCGAAAGCCUGACGGAGCAACGCCGCGUGAGUGAUGAAGGUCUUCGGAUCGUAAAACUCUGUUAUUAGGGAAGAACAUAUGUGUAAGUAACUGUGCACAUCUUGACGGUACCUAAUCAGAAAGCCACGGCUAACUACGUG
rnacentral:rRNA from 1 species